CGACUUAGGUUAAAUACAAACCAGGGACCUUCAAAGCCCCAAACAAGAGCACACUCUUAGUCACUG
rnacentral:tRNA from 1 species